ensembl:lncRNA
CUCCCAGGUGACACAGAUGCUGCUAGUCCAUGAAUCCUAUUCCAGUGGCCAAGAAUAAAAGAGUUACUGCAGCAUGCUAAGCUUCCCUGUCCAUCACCAACUCCCGGAGCUUGCUCAAACUCAUGUCGUCUUUCUGCUACAGUCAUCUCUCUGCUACAUGCUACAAACUCAUGUCCUCUUUCUGCUUCAGUCCUGCAAACAAGCAGAGGAGUGGGUCCCAAGGAGGAGAAGGGUCAGAAUGAGGAACAUUCAUGGGGUCUGAACUGACCAAGUGGGUUGCGGGAGGGAGAGGGUCCACAGGAGAACUGAGGUGGCCACUAGGAAGAGGAAGGUGCAUGUGACCUAGAAGAGAAGGGGCCCCAUAAAGCCAGAUUUGCCUCCAACACUGCAUAGUCUCAGACUCAAGUACUUGGCAACACAACCUAUUCCCAAUCUUCUGCAACUGAUCUUGAGGUCAUGACUGCCAGUUUAAGACAUGUAAACAAGGCCAAGGAAAUUGACCUUUCUUCCAGUAAUUAAGACACUCAGUCGCUCCUACAUACUUGUGACACUCAAGGACACCCACUCUCAAGGAAUCAGUGAGGCAGCUGGAAGAUCUUUGAGUCUGGCUGAUGCCCAGGCUGGAUUUGCCUCUGUGCAUAGUGGCCAAGCAUCUAAGAGCUGGAACCAUCUCUAAGAGCAGGAGACAGACUCGGCACCUGAUAGGCUGUUAAGCUGUGAAGAGCUUGCUCCAGCCACCUCCUUCUCAAGAAGUAUUCUUUUAAUCACCUUUCUCGAAAAGGAAGGGAGCUGAAGAGAAGCAUACAGAUCACAUGGGCUAUUGAGGUGGAGAGGAAAGGCAUUCUAGAUUCAAACGAUAGCUCUACAUCUAUAAACCACAUGAUUCACUGAAUAACAACUGACACGUGGACACUCAAUUCAACUAAAACGGUGGGAGAGAAAUUGUCCAGGGAAGCCUGUAGGAGCAUGGCCUGACUGAGCAGGGCCAUCCAAGCCUGCCACAGAGAGAUGAGUGCAGGGUCACUGGUUCUUGCUGACUCAUGGCAAAUGGACAGAGUCUCUUCUCAGGGCCCCCGGGAUGCAGGUUGCCCACCACAACUCCAGAAUGAAGUCCAUUUUUGAAGGACUGAAAAGAGAAGGAUAAGAG